CACAAAUAUAUUUCUCCUCCCUCCCUGUCCUCCUCACACACACGGAGCACGUCUGCUGGUCCACCAAGAUGUUUGCUCAGCACAUUUCAAUACGAACAUCAUGAUACUCCAUCCGGCUGUCAUCCGUUUCGCUUGUCGCGAACCAGCUCAAGCCACCGGCUUUUUGUUUCUGAAACAAAAUGACGUUACUUUCCCCAGUAAAACUCAAACGCCAUUGUGUAUUGAAAGAAAGAAUGAAGUUUGAGGUGGGUUGCAGUAUAUAUUUUUGAUGGCCAUGAAAAAAGAAAUGCGAAGAGAGUCAAUAUUUGACCUUCGACACGUUGCAUAAAUACAGGUCAAAUUAAAGGCCAGACCUCGAUCCUCCUCCUUCAUUUCGCUUUAGGCUCUCAUACAUACUAAAGUGCCUCGCCCGAUGCAAACAGUGAUAUUGAAUAAUUAAAUCAACACCAUUCUUGCCCACAUAGGGGGUGAGGAAAGUGCAAUGGCCCCAUUCGGGGAAUAUGGCGAGUGUAAGGCGGUGUGCUCUGGUCAUGGAUACGCCUUCAACCGGAUCCCCUUCACACGUGACCACGGCACAUAAACACACAGACAGCAACAAGUGUCGGGCUGUAGGGGGGGGGAGGUUUCCCUGCAUAGUCAUGCCUUGGUAUUGUUGGCACAGGGCCAGCGUUGCCAUCUGUCUCCUCUCCCCCUUUUCCUGUCUCUCCUCCUCCUCCUCCUCCCUCCUCCAAGCCAAUCUGCUCUACAUUUGCUAUCAUUACGUGCCUGCCAUCCUUAUGGCAUAUCAGAGGCAGACGCCAGGCACCCUUUACCCCUCUCUCUCUCUCUCUCUCUCUCUCUCUCUCUUUCUCUCUCCCUCUCCUUCCCCUCACGCCCCUCUCUUCACGCCCCUAUUUCCGCGCCCACUUUGCCACGGAGUUCUCUACAGGGUCCAGGUGGCAUCUUGCCCUGCUCUCUUCUCGGAGCCACGACGGAAAACAAAGAAGUGCAGCGAAGAGAACAAAAAAAAAAAUGCCCGAAAACGAGGAUACACUCCUUUCCACAUCCUGCUUGGAGCCCGCUGUGCUUCCUGUGCCCACAGGCUCGGUGUUGGUUUGUUGUUGUUGUUGUUGUCGUUGCUGCUGAAUUCCAUGGUGCUUCUUCCUGUGGAGCUGGGAAGUAAACCUUUUCAAAUCGUGGAACUUCUCUGGCUUUGGUGCCAUUAACUGGACCCUGACGAAUUCAUUCUCGACGCGACAAUGGUUUCCUAUGGAGACGAAGGGAUGGCGAUUGGACGAGCGAGGGUUAAAAGCGAGCGCUGCAGGAGGAGAGAGAGAGUCACUGGAGGACUUGCUAAUUAGGCAGCGGCAACACGAGCCUCAUCUGCAUGCGGGGUAUGCAAAUUGACCGGCUGGCUCUUUCUUUUUGUCCCGGAUCAGAAGGCGAGAGCUGCAGAGAAGAAUUAAGAGCCAUUAUUCUACCCAAGGAGAGGCUGAUGUAUGCAGAAGAGGGGGAUGAGGAUGAGAGGAAAGAACACUUUUACCACAGAGAUGUACAAUGGACUCCACUGGAAAGGAGAGUCAAAUACAAUCACACAAACGCACUCUUAUUCUCUCGCACAGCCUGGAAGAUCCUUCUACAUUUGAGGUGGAAAUUGCGAAAGAGAAAACGGCAAUCACGCACCUUUAUUUGCCGUUAUGCCUAUCUCCACAUAUCGAUAGGCUGCUUUGUGGAUGAUAAUUACCUUUUGGAAUAUCGAAUCCCGAAAACGAGCCACGGAAACGAAGGAACAAGAAGAAAGGACAGAAAAAAGAGCGGAGGUAUGCAAAGGCGCUAAUGAUAUUCACAGCGCCGCGUGUGUCAUCUGCAUGAUGACAACGGCCAAUUAUAAUGAACCAUUGGCUCUCUGACAUAGAUAAGUAGGAGAGAAAAGGAUAUGGGUGAAAAGGAGCGCGAAAAAAAAAAAAAAACUUCUGCGAUCCUUCUUAAUUUGCCGCUGAUAUUUUCAGAUUUCGUGUCGUGUGGAUUUACAGUGACGAUACAUCUUGAAAAAAAAAAGACAACCUCUCCUCGCACUGUCCCAUAAAUGGAAUAAAAAGGCCACAGAAGAUGAGGGCGUCCCUCCACGCAGGAUUUAUGGCUGCUCGUGGUGGUAUUCCAUCGCCAUGUUGUUGGUCAACGGGACUGGUUCUGAUGGCACCUGUUCCCGUGCCAACCAUCGCUCUGACGAGCCAAAGAAUCUGUUGGAAAUCACACCCACUAGGACGAGCGUACACACACACACACACACACACACACGGCGGCAUCUUUCUGUCGACUCCCCUUCCUCAUCACACUACAAAAUGCCUCCCCAUCACCGUUUUGCAUAUUCGCAUGGCGCCCCGCCUGCCACAAAGGACUAAACAGCCGUAUGCAAAACAGUCUGGUAUCCCCACUUACAUAGCGAUGAGACGAACAGCGUGAGAAAGAGGGGGCGGGAGCUGGGCGG
ensembl:lncRNA